rnacentral:rRNA from 1 species
GUUCAAAUUCGACGCAACGCCGCAGAACCCUUACCAGCCCUUGACAUGGGACUCUCCGGGAGCAGAGACGCUCCCUUCGGUUCGGCCGGAGUCCGCACAGGUGCUGCAUGGCUGUCGUCAGCUCGUGUCGUGAGAUGUUGGGUUAAGUCCCGCAACGAGCGCAACCCUCGUCUCCAGUUGCCAUCAGGUUAUGCUGGGCACUUUGGAGAAACUGCCGGUGACAAGCCGGAGGAAGGUGGGGAUGACGUCAAGUCCUCAUGGCCCUUACGGGCUGGGCUACACACGUGCUACAAUGGCGGUGACAAUGGGAUGCGAUGGCGCGAGCCGGAGCCGAUCCUAAAAAACCGUCUCAGUUCGGAUUGCACUCUGCAACUCGAGUGCAUGAAGUUGGUAAUCGCUAG